rnacentral:lncRNA from 1 species
UGGGAAAAAGAGACACCGAAUCUUCCUAAAUUUAUUAUUAGUAGUUGUGCACCGUAAACUUUGUAGUAUUAUAUUAUUGUUGUAGAAUUUAUGAUGAAGAAGAAUGGAAUACUAAUAACUCACCUAAAAUUUAACUCGAAAUUUAAUGACAGACGAAUUGCUUAAAUUUUUCACUUUUGGAACCUAAUUGAAAAAAAAUAUAUAAAAAAAAAAUCUAUUUGUGAAAACCCAAC